CGACAGGCUAACACAUGCAAGUCGAGGGGCGAGCAUAAAAGUAGCAAUACUUGGUCGGCGACCGGCGCACGGGUGAGUAACGCGUAUGCAACCUACCUAUCAGAGGGGAAUAACCCGGCGAAAGUCGGACUAAUACCGCAUAAAACAGGGGCACCGCAUGGUGAUAUUUGUUAAGAAAUUCGCUGAUAGAUGGGCAUGCGUUCCAUUAGGUAGUUGGUGAGGUAACGGCUCACCAAGCCGACGAUGGAUAGGGGAACUGAGAGGUUGGUCCCCCACACUGGUACUGAGACACGGACCAGACUCCUACGGGAGGCAGCAGUGAGGAAUAUUGGUCAAUGGGCGGGAGCCUGAACCAGCCAAGUCGCCGUGAAGGAAGAAGGAUCUAUGGUUCGUAAACUUCUUUUGCAGGGGAAUAAAGUGCAGGACGUGUCCUGUUUUGUAUGUACCCUGAGAAUAAGGAUCGGCUAACUCCGUGCCAGCCGCCGC
rnacentral:rRNA from 1 species